UUUUGCCUUUUCUAGGGCCACUCCCGUGGCAUAUGGAGAUUCCCAGGCUAGGGGUCUAAUCGGAGCCACAGCCACUGGCCUACACCAGAGCCACAGCAACGCGGGAUCCGGGCCACGUCUGUGACCUACACCACAGCUCACGGCAAUGCCAGAUCCUCAACCCGCUGAACAAGGCCAAGGAUCGAACCCGAAACCUCAUGCUUCCUAGUCGGAUUCUUUAACCACUGCGCCACGACGGGAACUCCCUUUUUUUUUUUAAGUUGGCCCUGAACUCCAAUUCAAGGACCCAGGGGCACCCAAGAAUCUUCGGACUGACUUCCACCCACCUCUCCCUGGCUAGAUGUAAAGGCCCACCCUUCGCCCCUUCUUCAGAGGCAGGCCAGCCACAUCCGCUACGAUGUACCACGUCGUAAGGAGGCAAGCAGUCAUAGCGCUCACGCCUGGUUUUCAUCCACAGGCUGGGUCCACGGCCCAAUCGCACAUUGCCAAACAUGACGCUCCCCAAAGGACAGCCCCCUGGAGAGUGCUUCUGUCACCGCCCACCAGCACCCCCUACCUCUUCUGCCUUCCAAGCGCUCUGGAUUUCACAGGACAGCCCUUCUCCAUCUUACCACGCCAGUGUCCCCCAGCCUAUACACGCAGACACUUCGGACAGCUCUGAGCAUUUCUGAUUGUAUUCAAUGACCGGUUAUUGGCAAGUUCUUUUAAUAAGUUCAAAACUUUCUUCAAAUAAUUGACCAAAAUGGUGAACCUAUGGGCAUUUAGAAACCGAGCAACACUCUUCGGCUACUUUAGGGUCACAUUUCCGACAUAUGCAUUCAUUUUAAAAAUACAGUCCUCUUUAAAAAGUGUCAGCAUUCAUUGGUUGACCUCUCCUUUUGUUUUUCCUGUUGCUUUGGUUUUGGAAUAAAUUGCGACCAAGCCAAUCGGCAGAGGGUCAGGCAAAGCUUCGCGCUGCCCUUGCAGCUCACAUAUCCUUCCAAUUCUGAGCACCUUGUCUGCGCUGAGUCAUCCCCGCGGUGUAACACGAGCCUGCUCCCAUGACAUCCUGAACCUUUUUUACCAGCACAUCCGUGGCGGGGAGUCCACAAGCCACACUGACGGAAGAAACGCAAACCACUAGGAUCGACCUCUCCGGCUUCAUCUUUUCCAUCCUCUGAUCUCUUUUCAUUAAUUCCAGCAUUAAAGUUGCCGAGUUGGAAGAUGUACGUUCAUCCCUGGUCACAACAAGACAGGCUACGGCUCCCACGCCUCCUUCUUGGUAUGUGCCAUAGCAUCAAAUGCUAGAACAUAAGUAUGACUAAUUCUAGCAUCAUAGUUCCCCGCUAAAUUUCAGCAAAAGAUUAAAGUUCUCAAUUAAUUUCAACAGGAGGGCUUCACAAUUAAAAUAUACUUUUGGUCAGUAAGCCCUUUUCUGUCAGGUAUUUUCUUACUCCGCAGAAAUGCAGUUUUUCCUUUAAGCAUCAUGCUGAAAGAUUUCAAAUUCUCAUGGGUUUGUCAAUUGGACACACAAAAUGCUGCAAUGCCUCGAUGCAUAAGUGUCAUUGUGGACAUCAGUUAUUGUACUAAAAAACAGAGUUCUGGCCCAUCAAAACACAUAAUUUUUACUGAACUGCUCACAUUGAAUACUUACAUUAAGUAGCUUCAAAAUUCUAUGCUUUGAAUUUCUGUGCCUUUUAAAUUAUAUUUUAACCUUUUUUAGUAUUUCUAUUGCCUACAGCACUAGUACUUCUUAGUGCUAGUACUUCACAAAAGAACUUAAGGACCCUUGCACACGACUUUAUCAAUCUCUUGGAUUUGCUGGGUAUAUUUGGCACACUAAUCACCAAGCCUCUCGGAGCUUUGUUUUCUUUUACAACCCCAGGCUAGGAGUCAAAUCCGAGCUGCAGUUGCUGGCCGCAGCCACAGCAACACCAGAUCCGAGCUGCAUCUGUGACCUACACUGCAGCUUGUGGCAAUGCUAGAUCCUUAACCCAACGAAGUGAGGCCAGGGAUCGAACCCGAAUCCUCAAGAACACUAUGUCAGGUUCGUAACCUGCUGAGCCACAAAACUCCCAGACUUAGAACUUUGUGUAAAUGGAGCAUCCUGAAAGAAGAUCGGUAAUUUCUACAGUGAAAGCUUCCACUGAUCGCAGUACCUGAACUGAGCUCAUGGACUUGCAGCCUCUCUCUUGUUUUAACACUUAGGUCCCAACUGGAUCAGUGACCUUGCAUAAACGUGCAUCCCAGCUGGCCAUGGUUCCAUCCUAAGACCUAUCAGCUACAGAGCACCUGUUACUUUCUAGCCCAAAUCAUUUUCUUCUCAAGAUAUCUCAGUGAGCUUUGUAAGGCUAUGACGGCAACACCCACUUUACAGAUGGAGAACAAACGACCUUGGGCAAGGGCUUUGGCCAGGUGUGGCCUGAAUCACCAGUGCUGCCUGUUUAUGGAGCCAGUGUUUCCUGCCCUGCUUGCACGCAGUGUAUCCGUAGAUGUGUAAAUAUGCCUUGAUUCCACCAGAAGCAGAGUGAAGAUGAGCAUGCCUGGGCCUCCUCGACGGGCAGCUUAGAGAGCGUCAAAGAAGCCGAAAGGCACCAGGGAACUCACGGAGCAGGAAGUGAGAGACAAGCCAAAAGCUAUCCGGUUGUCGCACAGCUUUCUUAACGUCAUCUUCCAUCAAGUCAGAGCUGCCAGGACUUCAGACUAAAUGCUUCUUCUUCCUGCCCGUACCUUUCACACCCCACGUGCCCCAGUGACUCACCUGGCAGGAACCCAAAGGCAGCACACACUUCUCCACUCCAAGGAGGGUGACUGCCCCUGGGACACAGUGACAGUUCAGUGCCAAUGCCCUUGGAGCAGACGCAACGGGAUGCUGAGGACAGGACAACUAUCUCAGCCUGGAGGAGCCAGGCUUCCCACCGAACCAACCAGCCUGCCCAGGAGCCCGAGGCUGAGGCACCAAGGCGGGUGAUAAAAGGGCCCCAUGCAACAAUUCUGGGUCCUGUGGGUGCCUUAGCUAAACAGACAGAGUGGGGAGGAAGGACAGAGAGAGCACCACACACACACCUUUCCCCCUCUGCCUGCAGAUACCUCAGUGGGACAGCUGUUCUCCCACUUUGCAAAAAAAAAAAACCCACAAUAUUUACUGCAAGAAUGCACAGGGCCUCCAGCGUCUGCAAGUCAUCAGAGCUUUCAAGAGCAUAUGUCAAGCAGCUCAGCCAGCAUCUGGGCUCUGCUCUUCAGUCCCACAGUAUAAGUAUAGCCCAAUCCCAGGGCAAACCCGAAACCCUAAGCAUGGCAGAAACUCUUCCCCACAGCAGGGAGCAUAAAGAAUAGCUGGUGAGCCUGGCGGCCACCCUGCACUCCAGAUUCGUGGUCUGCAUCGAAUCAGGACCUCAGAAGUCUUGCAGGGGUGGUUCCAACCUUCUCCAGGGUUCAAGAGAGAUGAAAUGAUCAAAGGGUAUUUCCGACCAGCAGUGACUGGCUGAAGGACAGGUAGGAGGGUCUUCAGAUCAGCACCCCCCCCCACAAAGCCAACCCCCUGCGCGGACCCUAACGGACACGUGAUCUUUGCCCCCCCACCCCAGUUCUUCACAGACAUUGCUCAAAUCACUUCCCCUCUUGCUCACACACUCCCUGACCUCCCCCAUACGCACGGUUAUAUAAAAACAUCUUAAACCUGGGACCCAACUCCGUUUGGGGGGAGGACUGGGAGAUGGUGGGAGCUGCGGCCGAACAUUCUGAUCAUCGGUUGAAGUUACAUAAUCACACCAUCCAUCGAGGGCUGGAGAAGGCUCCACGGAGAUCAAUUCAGGGCACGCCUCAGACUCCCCUCCUCCCCUCCCCUCCCCCAGUACCCAGAAGCCAGCCAGUCUGAACACAACCAAAACACAAGACAGGCCUNNNNNNNNNGGGGGGGGCGGCUGGUUGCCGCGGUUACAACGCCAAGGGCUGCGGGAAACUUGAGGUUCGCGGCAGAAAGAGGGCCUAGUGCUGCUCACUCAGGGAUCAGACCCCUGCAGACCCCGCAGCCUGCAUUCCCUGCUCCCAAAGUUCAAGGGCCGGCCCGACCUCCGACCUGCAACGUUAUAACCAAAGCAGCCGAGGUCACACAAACCCACGGCUCCAAAUGCCUCUCCCCCACUUCCGUCCAAGUCUCCACGAGUUCAGGCUGUCGGGCACCCUCAGGAGGCCUCGGGCAGCUCGCACAAUCUCAGCGGGGGCCAGCCGGCACCAGCCGGGUCUCUCAUUUUAAAGGGUGGUGACAUGUGGGGCACGACCGCGUUGCUCGCAGCGAGGCAAGGCUCCCCAAGGGAGUGAGAGUGUUUCUUUGGUGGGAGGUUGUGAUUUGCGGGACGAGAAUUUCGGGGAGAGGGGGAAAGAGCUGCCCUCUGCCUGGGCACCCUGCAUCCUCCGAUCCCAUUUUCAGCACCAGAGGCGGCUCGGGGGGACCUGAACAACCCCGGAGCCGCAGCCAGGCCAGCGGAAGAACCUGCAGGUGCUGCGGGGAGCCAGGCGCCGGCCAGACCGCGGCGGCUCCGCAGAGAGCGGGCAGCUCGGGGCGCCGGGGCCGCGGGGCCGCCGGGAGCGGAGGAGCGCGCGGCGCGC
ensembl:lncRNA